UACGAAGGGGGCUAGCGUUGCUCGGAAUUACUGGGCGUAAAGCGCACGUAGGCGGCUUUCUAAGUCGGGGGUGAAAUCCUGGAGCUCAACUCCAGAACUGCCUUCGAUACUGGAGAGCUCGAGUCCGGGAGAGGUGAGUGGAACUGCGAGUGUAGAGGUGAAAUUCGUAGAUAUUCGCAAGAACACCAGUGGCGAAGGCGGCUCACUGGCCCGGUACUGACGCUGAGGUGCGAAAGCGUGGGGAGCAAACAG
rnacentral:rRNA from 1 species